GACAUUCCAUGAGAAAUCAUGAGAACGGUUAUCUAAAUCAUUGAUCUAGUGAAUUCAAAAGUUAUAGAUCUUUUAGUGGAUAUAUUUCUGUAAUUAUUUCUUUCGUUACUUUAUUAGUAGUUAACAAUCAAUCUUCAUAUCUUCUUCAAAAUUUGCUUGAGCAAAAGUUUAAACAUACUUUAUAUACACAAUUCCUCGUAGGAUCAAUCCAUACUCGUCGGAA
rnacentral:lncRNA from 1 species